CUUUUAGCCUACCUGGACUGUGAGCCAUAAUCUGCUAGAUUGUCAAGGCUUCCUAUAAGACUCAUGAUGUCUUAGCUAGAGACGAGGAGGAGGAGGAGUCUAUCCUCACCCCCUUAUAUUAAAAAGGAGAAAAAAGUUCUGGAAGAGUAAGGGAGUUGGACAGGGUCAUAUAGCUGGUGAUCUGUGUAAAAAUUCUAGUUCAAAAUAUGUGUCCCUGAUAGCCUUAUUAAGCAAACAGCAAGGGAAACCCUUGUUUCAGCUCAGUAAUCAUGUGAUCUUAUGGUAAACCACAUGAAAUUGUCAUUUUUGAAACUCAAAAACAAUUAAAUUAAUGAAUGAAAAAGUUGGCUUUAGAGAUAUAUUAAAAUUAGAAUUUUACAUUUUAAAAUGCAUUUACCAUGUACUUUUCUCCCCCCCCCCCCCCCACUAAAUCCUGUAUAUCUGAGUCAACAAAUUGGAUAUUGUAUUAAUUUGCUAGGGCUGCCGUAUCAGAGCACCACAGACUAGGUGGCUUAAACAAGACGAUUUAUUGUGUCACAGUUCUGGGAGCUAAAGAGCAAGGUUAGGAUAUCUUCAGGGUUGGUUCUUUCUGAGGGCUGUGAAGAAGAAUCUGCUCCAUACCUCUCUCCUAUCUGCUGGUAGUUUUCAGGUAAUCCUUGGUGUUCCCUUGGCUUAUAAGCACAUCCCCUGCCUUGAUGUUCACAUAAUGUUCUUCCUCUGUGUAAGGGCACCAAUCAUGUUAGAUUAAGGGCCCAUCUUCCUCCAUUAUGAUCUCAUUUUAACUAAUUACAUCUACAAUAACCCUAUUUCCAAAUAAGGUCCUAUUCUGAGAUAUUGAGAGUUAGGACUUCAACAUGUGUAUUUUAGAGGGGAUGUGAUUGAAGUCAUAAGAGACGGGAAAAAUAUUUUAUCUUUUAAUCACUAUUGUAUCCUAUGCUUUGGAAAUAGAGAUAUGAUAUCAUAUAUAUCUGUGUAUGUAACUCUUUCUGCCAUUGAGGACUUAUACUGAUGCAAGCAUUUAUUGCUUCAUUUAAACCUAUGACAUUCCUUUAAAGGAUCAUAAUAUUAAACAACUGCCCUAAGAUCACAUUACGAGUGUGUUGUCAAGCUAAUGCUAGUGAUAGGAUUUGGACACAGACUUAUUCCAGAGUCCAUAUCUCUUAUCCUUCUUUUAUUUAAAUGUAUUUUUUAGUUGUUGAUAGACCUUUAUUUUUACUUAUUUAUAUGCGGUGCUGAGGAUUGAACCCAGUGCUUCACACAUGCUAUGCAAGUGCUUUACCACCAAGCUACAACCCCAG
rnacentral:lncRNA from 1 species